ensembl:snRNA U6 U6 spliceosomal RNA
CAUUCAACGUCAUGUAAUACUGAAACUGGAACGAUACAAGGAAGAUUAGCAUGGCCCCUGGGCAAGCAUGGUACGGAAAUUCGAAAUUCGUGAGACGUUAUA